UUCACAUUCAAGUAACACCAGUUCACUUUGCCAAGGAGCUGGAGGGUUAAUGUCUGAGAGACAGAUAGCAAGAAAAGAGAGAAAGUGGAGGGGGGGUAGGGGGGACAGGAGUGUGUGUGUAGGAAAAGAAAGAGAGAGUGAGCUCCUCAUAAGUCGUCAGAACUGUCAGGGAUCUCAUAACGGAGGAAACAGGGAGACCAGACGAGGCUGUAAUCUGCACAGCUGAGAAGACACAACACGGCAGAAAGUCUGCAGUUAAAAUAAGUUGAGGCUAAAAUUGACCUAACAUGAUGGAAUUGGUUUUAACCAGACUGCGGGACUUCUCCCGCAAGACCACCACCUUUGACGACUGUAAACAAGCUGGGCAAGGUGCAUGCAGGGACCCUCGGACCAGGAGUGACCACCUUAGAGAAGGGUGCACAGCUGGAGGAGAAAGCAGCAAACUGGACAUCGAGAGCGCACUGGCCUGGCUGAGAAGGGAAUUAAUGGAGAUGCGUUCCCAGGACCAAGCUCUGAUCCGACAGCUGAUGGAACUGCACUCUGGCAUCCAGGAGCUCAAGCAGGAGUUGUCUGAGGAGGAGCAAGAAGACGAAACAGAUGAGGAAGAAGAGGAGUGCAGCUACUGGGACUCUGAUAGUGAACGAGGAAGUGGCAGCAUUUAUUCCAACCCAGGGGAGGUGGGCUUUUCUUUUUCCUUCCUGAAGAAGCCCUGGCCCAUAUGCUCAAGGGCCUUAUCGAAGAGGGCAUUCUGCAGGAGAAGCUCUGUGCCUUGAAAAUACAAACUGUUAGAGGAAGUUCAACUUUUGAAGUCUGUCCUUAACUUCUUCAUAUGCUCUAAGACAAAGUGAAUCAAGAUAAAGAAAUUUGAUUUUCCAAAAUAAAUUCACCUCAGAAGUCAAACAAGAGGAUAAGCUGAGUUGAGGAAAGAAUCAGCAGUUGUAUCAUGUAAACUUAUCACGACUUUACUAUGUUAAUGCAAAAUUACAUUUAAAUUUCAACAUUUUUGGAAAUACAUCAAUUUGCUUUCUUGCAAAGUUAAUUACAUCCAGCUGUCAGCUAACUUUUCUUAGCAUUAAGUCUUGAAACCAAGGGUUAAAAAAACAGGACUUUGUUAUUUAUAUAGAUUAAACAUGAGAAUAUAUUAAUCACUGUUGUUUUAGCUUUUGUGAUAAGCUAAGCUAACUGACUGAUGGCCAUAGUUUAUCAUCCCAGUACAAAAGUGAUAUCAGUCUUUUUAUCUAACUCUCAUUGACAAAGCGAGUAAAUGUUUUCCAAAAUGUCAAACUAUUCCUUUAUGUUAGUAUAUAAACAAUGUGACAGAGUAUAGUGUACGUUCUGUAUUAAGCAUAGACCUAAAGGCAGUCCUUGUUGUCUUUUUGUUGUAUUAUGUGUCUGAAAGUGAGUUUUUUGUGACAGUUCAAAGUCUCUGCUGGAUUGAUUUUUCAAAUACUGUAAAAAUAUUAAAUUCUGCACUUUCUGAUGUAUGUGAGACUCUGAAAUAUGUGAACCUGUCAGUUAAUAUUGUAUUCUGCAGCUCAUCACAGAGCUGUGUGUGUAUGGCUGCAAGCGCACUGACCUUUUACCAGUGUCACUGCAUACAGAAUGGGUUCAGCGGCACAGCAGGACAGCCAAGCGUUCACUGCAUCUUUAUUGUGCUCAUGCAGUGAGAAAAAUAUUCUGCUAACAGUAUGACACUGCUACUGAGACCUAGUAGUCUUAAAUGUCUCUCUGAGAAAUGAUUAUUGGAGUACCUAGAAUAUUAGCAACAGUGAAUUAGCAACUUGUGAAUCCACAUUUAAAACUCUUAAUAGAAGAGAAAAAAUGGUUGUAUUUAAUUAUGAUACCUGAACUUCCAUCAGUAUUUCAAACAGGUACUGUACUGUAGUGGUACAGUAUGCUGGCACAAUAAAGAUAUGAAAACGGUG
ensembl:lncRNA